AUGUUUCUUCCCAGAAUAAUAUUUAACAAUUGUCAGAUUGUGUGGGCUACUUGAAACAAGCUAAUGUCAUUUGGGAAGAAGGAACUGCAAUUGAGAAAAUUUCCCCACAAGAUUGACCUGUGGUACUUUUGACCGAUAGAGGGUUAAUAUGGGAGGGGCCAGCUGACUGAGGGUAGCACCAAUCCUGGGCAGGUGAUCUUGGGUUGUAAAAUAAGUCAGGUUGAGAAAACCAUAGGGAACAAGCCAAUUAACAGUGCUCUUCCACGUUUACUGCUUCCAGGUCCCUUCCUUGAGUCCUUACUCUGACUCUGAUGAUGGACUGUUUGAAAGACAAUAUUGUCCUGGUUGUGAAGGCAUGAAGGAGUCUUGGAGAGCAGUCUUGUCACAGUGAAAGGCCAGGAGAGGCAACUGGUGAACCUAUGCGGCAGAGGUGGAGGUAUGGAGUCCUUGGAGGAGCCCUGGUGAUCAUGAAAAUCAUGAGUAAGUCCCAGGUGCCCCACACUGAGCUGUUUAUAGUGCUGGACAUUGGUUUCGUAUUAUUCUGGUUGUAACUAUACUCUGGCUUCUCUUUUCUGAAAUAAGAAGUAUGUAACUUUUCAAAUUAGGAGACCACAGUUAAGGGAGUUUGGAAUUUUACAGACUUUGGAAUUUUAGAGAGAGAAGAAGUGUUAGAGAGGCUUGGGACUUUAAAAGAGUUUUAAAUAUUUUAAAGAGCCUGAACUUCUAAGUUGUGUAAAAAUUUGAAACCUGUGGGAAUUUUUAAAAUUGGAAUAUUUUAUGUUAUGAUGGGAAUAUUAGCAUGACACCUCGGGGACAAAUGAGUAAAGAAAGAUUGUAGUUUAAUAGUGAUGUGUUUGUGUGUCAAGUUGACAAGGGUCAAUUGUGCUGACUGGACUUUUUUUUACCUUGACACAAGCUAAAGACAUUUGAGAAGAGGGAACCUCAGUUGACCAAAUGCCCCAAACCAAAUUGUACUUUAGGCAUUCUCUUGAUUUUAUGAGUGAUAAAGGAGGACCCAGCCAACUGAGGGUGGUGCCACUGCUGGGCAGGUGGUUCUGGCUGGGACAAGAAAGUGGGCUGAACAAGCCAAGAGGGAGCAAACCAGUAAGCAACACUCAAUACAUGGCUUCUGCUCCACUUCUUGUUUCUGGGUUUCUGCCUUGACUUUUCUGCAUGAUGGACUACAAGCUGUAAGCUGAAAUAAAUCCUUUUCUCCCCAAGUUGCUUAUGGUCAUGGUGUUUCAUCACAUCAGUAGAAACCCCAGCUAAGAUGCAGGUGAAAUUGAAGGUAAAGCGAUGCCUGUGUUUUUACAAUUGUGAUGCCUCCUUGCUACUCUCUACUAUCCCUUCUUUUGGUCUGGACUCCUCCCACUCUGGACGGUACACAAGCUUCUGUCAGGAAGUCUCUUUCCUCAUAACUUAAUAAAUAAUUAGUGUGUGUUUCAGACAUGUACACUGUACUUGUAAGGCACAGCCUCAAUCUUGUUGGCUUAGAAUUCACAUCCUCACUGCAUCUCCAUUUCUCUGUCUUUAUACCAUCAUGUGAUGGCUUCACGGUAUGGCUUGUAGAAGGCAGUUGAGUUCUUCUUUCCAUGUUUUUUGGCUGGGUUCUCCCUCACAGUCCUGUCAGGUCCUAAAUCAGAUGCAAAAGGGAGCAUUUAGUAUGUGAAUACAUUUUACAUUCUUUAAAUGUAGAUUUCUUAGUACAGACUCAAAAUGGUUUCAAAUAACAGGAGUAUGGCCAAGCAACCAGAUGUUAUUUGAAAAAACUAUGGAUGGUUGUCUCUUUGUAUUUACUAGUAAGCUGAGACAUAAGUGUAGAAUUGGAUCAACUUCUUAAGAGCCUUCUUCCCCACUCAGAUAGUUACGGAAAAUCCCAGUGAUAGUUACCAGGGAAUGACAAGGAUUUUCCAGAAUCUCUGUUCCCUGAGAUGAUGGAAAAGAUUAAAAUAGUUUAUGAGCUUCAGAUAAGACAAGCCUGAACCAUGAAUAGGAAAAAUUAGUAAUUGAUACUAUUUUGUUUUCUGGUUCCAACUGUCUCUUCUGUUUUCUGGAUUAAACUCAUGGGGAUUAUAUUGGGAAGGCUAAAGGAAAAGCAGGCUGAUUAUUUUUAUAAUUUAAUCAAUAUGGUGAUUUUAUGUGAGGGGAGCAAAUUAGAUUUGACUGUAUCCUACAGGGCACCAGUACCACACUGCUGCUUACCAGUGGCGUCUUUAGAUUAAUGAAGCUACACACAUGGAGGCAGAGAGUCACUGGAUGAGUACACAUAGGAAUAACAUUUUUUAGGCUGCUCAGGAGCUGAUUUUAUGUGUUCUACCAGAAAUUUUUAUUUAUAAGUGAUGAAAAGUAUGUCACAUAUUGAGUAGCAAAUGGAUUCUCAUUCAAGUUGCGAUUGUUUCACGUCUGGUUUAGUUGUGUCCAGAGAACAAAAGAACAUUUAUCUUCUCUGCUGUGAUAUGAAACUAAUUGUGUUUGGUUGGAAACUGAGGGAAUGCUGUUAGAGAGCCAUAGGUUGGAAUCAUUUCUUUUCAAUGAUGCCUCAUUUCUAAGUACUUUUGUUUAGGAGAUAUAUGAUUGCCAAUAUCAUGAAAGCAUAUUGGUGCUUCUGUUACAUCGAGCUGAUGGCUUCUACAAUGGUGUGGCAUAGAUUUUAUAUUUUUUUCACCCUGUCCUUUGUGUAAACUUAAGCUUCUUUCUCUCCCCUUCCUUUUCAUUUAAGCUUGUCCUCAUGAGCAGAAAGAAAAAGUGAUGAUUCAGUGCUUUGGCCCUGAGCCAAAAACCUCUCCUCCCUGACACUCCAUUACCAUAUGAAUUGAACAGAAUUAUUUAUAGGAAAUCUCUUUUAAGAUCAAUUCUUAUGUGUUUGACACAUGGUAAAACUCAUGGCUCUAACUGCAUAUGUAUUAGAGGAUGACCUCGUCAGUCACCAAUGGGAGGAGAGGCCCUAGGUCCUGUGAAGGCUCCAUGCCCCAGAAUAGGGGAAUGCCAGGACCAGGAAUGGGAAUGGGUUGAGUUGGGGAGCAGUGGAAAAGGGGAGUGAUAGGGAAUUUUUGGAGGGGAAACCAGGAAAGAGGACAACAUUUGAAAUGUAAAUAAAGAAAAUAUCUAAUAAUAAUAAAAAAGAUCAAUUCUUGUGUGUUUGAGAAAGAAGAUAAUGAUUCUUUCUUUAACACAUUAUCUUACUUUAUUUUGAAAAUUUCUCCUAUUUACAUUUACAGUACAAAGAGGCUUUUCUUUUAGUUUCUAAACUAUUGGGGAGUUCACUGACCACCAGAUAUGCACAUGGUCUUCAGAUACUGCGGUGUAUGUUUUCUGCAAGCAAGGACGUUCAUUCUCUGUACCUGCAUUACAGCCAUGAAUCAGGAAGUCAACAUUGGCUCUAUUUUACUACCUGAAACCCAGCUAUUUCCAGGUUUUGUUGGUGAACUUUUGGGUGCUCUUUUCAGCAGAAGAAUACAGUUUAAAUAUAAGUAUGACAGUGGGGUACUGUGUCUCUGAUCUCUUUUUGUCUAGAACAAUUCCCGAGGUCUUUCUUGCAGCUGCAAUUUUUAAAGAUUAUUGCCUGGGUGUUUUACUCAGUGUUCCUCUGGUGUCUUAUAUUCAUGUUCAACUUACUCAGUAUGGAGUGUGUCAAAGCUAAGACUUUACUGUGUCUGUAUGACCGCUCUAGCCACAGAAUGUUGGCUAUCAUAUUGUGCCAUUGUGAAGUGACACUUUUUCCUUCAUAAUUAAUAAGUAAUUGUGUGGGAAGAUACUUUUCCAUCUUGUUCAUUCCAAUUGUUCAUCAAACUCUAAACUUACAUCUUUGGUUCAGUACAGAUUCAGGGUUCUCAUUGGAUUCCUUGUUUGUUUUGACUUCCCAGUUUUUCAGAGGAGCCGCUCCCAGUCGUCUUUGACAUUCUUUUUGUUUUGUUUUUGUUUUUGUUGUUGUUGUUGUUGUUUGAGACAGAGUAAGAUAUUCCACAAUCAUCUUAUUUCCCCUUUCAAUUAGCUGUUCCUCGAGAAGUCCUGGUUAUUGAUGCUGGAGAAAAACACUUGGAAGUCCAAGUCUGUAGUCUAGUUGUACUCAUUGCUCUCAGGCACUGCUAACAAGGAGUCAGGGCUCGUAACACACACACACACACACACACACACACACACACACACACACGCACAGGAACACUCUCAUGCACUCAUUCACAAAUAUGCACACACUUAAAUCUUUGUGUCUAGAACUCCAGUCCUUAUCCCUAGAAGUAAUUCUGUGGCCCUUUCCAUUCCAGUUCAACCCAACAUGGGGGAUUCUCUUCUUUUUUUUUUUUUUUUUAACAGAGAAUUCUUUUUUUUUUAAUUAGGUAUUUUCCUCGUUUACAUUUUCAAUGCUAUCCCAAAGGUCCCCCAUACCCACCCCCCCAAUCCCCUACCCACCCACUCCCCCUUUUUGGCCCUGGCAUUCCCCUGUACUGGGGCAUAUACAGUUUGCGUGUCCAAUGGGCCUCUCUUUGCAGUGAUGACCGACUAGGCCAUCUUUUGAUACAGAUGCAGCUAAAGACAAGAGCUCCCAGGUACUGGUUAGUUCAUAAUGUUGUUCCACCUAUAGGGUUGCAGUUCCCUUUAGCUCCUUGGGUAAUUUCUCUAGCUCCUCCAUUAGGGGCCGUGUGACCCAUCCAAUAGCUGACUGUGAUCAUCCACUUCUGUGUUUGCUAGGCCCCGGCAUAUUCUCACAAGAGAGAGCUAUAUCUGGGUCCUUUCAGCGAAAUCUUGCUAGUGUAUGCAAUGGUGUCAGCAUUUGGAAGCUGAUUAUGGGAUGGAUCCCUGCAUAUGGCAAUUCUCUCUCACAGUGAAUGAACAAGACCUCAUCCUCAGAUUCACUAAAGAUCAGUCAUGCAGCUAGAGUGUUCCCUCCCUACCCUGCCCAAGACCAGCCUUACAGAAAUGUUUGUGUCUCCUUAAUGAUGUUAGUUCAUAGUGUUCAAGCAGAGGAAGAGGAAAGGCAAGUUACAUUUUUCGUAGAUAUUUACUUUCUCUUGAAUUUAUCAACCUGGCAUCAUUGCAGGCCUGCAGAGAGGAUCUGUGAGUCUCAGGCUGUAGACCGGUCUUUACCUUGAUCUGCAUGGAAUGGGAUUUCAUUUCUAGACUUUAAAGCUUGGGCAUGACUUCUCCUUGUCACGUGCUCCCUUUCCUCAUAUCUGAUCACUAGAGAUGAUGUUUUGUUUUAUUAACUAAGGAAAAUGUACUACUAUUGACAUCUUGACCCUUCUAAAAUAAACCAUAUUGAUUUGCAAUGCUGACAUUUUCACAAAAAAAAGACACAUUCUUAGAAGAACCAAAGUUUGCUUCGAGAGGGUCUAGAGACCUUGGAGUUCAGUAAUUUACUCCUUUUACUAAAGACAUAAAAUAGCUGAACAGAACCAAGGAGAAUAAAAAAAGCAAAACUAAACAACAACAAAAGAAAAACCUUUAUGAAAGGAAGUCAUCAGAAGUGGUCACCAUACUGUUCUGGAAACGACUUCUUUUCAAUAACAUUGAACUGUUUCUUCCUAAGUCUGUCCUUAGAGAAGGUGGUCAGGGCCACAUGCCCAAAGAUCUGAAAAUAUGCCACCAAUUAGUGGUUUAUUUUUCCUGGAAAAAAA